AUACGGAGGGGGCUAGCGUUGUUCGGAAUUACUGGGCGUAAAGCGCGCGUAGGCGGCUUAUCAAGUUAGGCGUGAAAGGCCUGGGCUCAACCCGGGAACUGCGCUUAAUACUGGUAGACUUGAGUCCGGGAGAGGGUGGCGGAAUUCCCAGUGUAGAGGUGAAAUUCGUAGAUAUUAGGAAGAACACCAGUGGCGAAGGCGGCUUACUGGACCGGUACUGACGCUGAGGUACGAAAGCGUGGGGAGCGAACAGGAUUAGAAACCCCGGUAGUCC
rnacentral:rRNA from 1 species